rnacentral:rRNA from 1 species
AGAGUUUGAUCAUGGCUCAGGAUGAACGCUAGCUACAGGCUUAACACAUGCAAGUCGAGGGGAAACGACAUCGAAAGCUUGCUUUUGAUGGGCGUCGACCGGCGCACGGGUGAGUAACGCGUAUCCAACCUGCCCACCACUUGGGGAUAACCUUGCGAAAGUAAGACUAAUACCCAAUGACGUCUCUAGAAGACAUCUGAAAGAGAUUAAAGAUUCAUCGGUGAUGGAUGGGGAUGCGUCUGAUUAGCUUGUUGGCGGGGUAACGCCACAAGGCGACGAUCAGUAGGGUCUGAGAGGAAGGUCCCCANAUUGGAACUGAGACACGGUCCAAACUCCUAGGGAGGCA